rnacentral:rRNA from 1 species
UGCAUAUCAAUAAGCGGAGGAAAAGAAACCAACAGGGAUUGCCCUAGUAACGGCGAGUGAAGCGGCAACAGCUCAAAUUUGAAAUCUGGCUCUUUUAGGGUCCGAGUUGUAAUUUGCAGAGGGCGCUUUGGCGUUGGCAGCGGUCCAAGUUCUUUGGAACAGGACGUCACAGAGGGUGAGAAUCCCGUACGUGGUCGCUAGCCUUCGCCGUGUAAAGCCCCUUCGACGAGUCGAGUUGUUUGGGAAUGCAGCUCUAAAUGGGAGGUAAAUUUCUUCUAAAGCUAAAUACUGGCCAGAGACCGAUAGCGCACAAGUAGAGUGAUCGAAAGAUGAAAAGCACUUUGGAAAGAGAGUCAAAUAGCACGUGAAAUUGUUGAAAGGGAAGCGCUUGCAGCCAGACUUGCCUGUAGUUGCUUAUCCGGACUUUUGUCCGGUGCACUCUUCUGCGGGCAGGCCAGCAUCAGUUUAGGCGGUUGGAUAAAGGUCUCUAUCACGUACCUCCCUUCGGGGUUGGCCUUAUAGGGGAGACGACAUGCAACCAGCUUGAACUGAGGUCCGCGCAUCUGCUAGGAUGCUGGCGUAAUGGCUGUAAGCGGCCCGUCUUGAAACACGGACCAAGGAGUCUAACAUCUAUGCGAGUGUUUGGGUGUCAAGCCCAGACGCGUAAUGAAAGUGAACGGAGGUGGGAACCUUUUAGGUGCACCAUCGACCGAUCCUGAUGUCUUCGGAUGGAUUUGAGUAAGAGCAUGGCUGUUGGGACCCGAAAGAUGGUGAACUAUGCUUGAAUAGGGUGAAGCCAGAGGAAACUCUGGUGGAGGCUCGCAGCGGUUCUGACGUGCAAAUCGAUCGUCAAAUUUGGGCAUAGGGGCGAAAGACUAAUCGAACUAUCUAGUAGCUGGUUCCUGCC